GCCUGGGUGAUGGAACUGGUAGACAUAAGGGACUUAAAAUCCCUUGAGGCCAUGCCUCGUGGGGGUUCGACUCCCCCCCCAGGCACCA
rnacentral:tRNA from 1 species